rnacentral:rRNA from 1 species
GACGAACGCUGGCGGCGUGCUUAACACAUGCAAGUCGAGCGGUAAGGCCCUUUCGGGGGUACGACGAGCGGCGAACGGGUGAGUAACACGUGGGUGACCUGCCCUCAGCUCUGGGAUAAGCCUGGGAAACCGGGUACUAAUACCGGAUAUGACUCCAUGACGCAUGUUGUGGGGUGGAAAGCCUUGUGCGGCUGAGGAUGGGCCCGCGGCCUAUCACCUUGUUGGUGGGGUGAUGGCCUACCAAGGCGACGACGGGUAGCCGGCCUGAGAGGGCGACCGGCCACACUGGGACUGAGACACGGCCCAGACUCCUACGGGAGGCAGCAGUGGGGAAUCUUGCGCAAUGGGCGAAAGCCUGACGCAGCGACGCCGCGUGAGGGAUGACGGCCU